GACAGAGGGUGCAAACGUUGUUCGGAAUUACUGGGCGUAAAGGGCGCGUAGGCGGCCCGCUAAGUCGAACGUGAAAUCCCCGGGCUCAACCCGGGAACUGCGUCCGAUACUGGUGGGCUUGAAUCCGGGAGAGGGAUGCGGAAUUCCAGGUGUAGCGGUGAAAUGCGUAGAUAUCUGGAGGAACACCGGUGGCGAAGGCGGCAUCCUGGACCGGUAUUGACGCUGAGGCGCGAAAGCCAGGGGAGCAAACGGG
rnacentral:rRNA from 1 species